UACAGAGGGUGCGAGCGUUAAUCGGAAUUACUGGGCGUAAAGCGCGCGUAGGCGGCUUUGCAAGUCGGGUGUGAAAUCCCCAGGCUUAACCUGGGAACUGCAUUCGAGACUGCAUUGCUAGAGUAUGGGAGAGGGAAGUGGAAUUUCCGGUGUAGCGGUGAAAUGCGUAGAUAUCGGAAGGACAUCAGUGGCGAAAGCGACUUCCUGGACCAAUACUGACGCUCAUGUGCGAAAGCGUGGGGAGCAAACAGG
rnacentral:rRNA from 1 species